rnacentral:rRNA from 1 species
UAAAUUAAACGAAUUUAAAUUAAAUAACACGAAAUUAAAGGAGCUAAUUAUUAUAUACUACUAGGGAAAAAAUGUUGCAAAAUUUAAUUUAGUAAUAAUUAGGGGUGAUAGGCUUAUCAAAUUUAAUGAUAACUUGAAGGCUUAGAAAUGUAUUAGUACGAUGACAUUCUUGGAAUAAUAAGGUUUCAAGGGCUAACAAAUUCUUUAGUAAAUUAGGUAUCAAGUUUAACUAUGAAUACAUCUGCAAAAUAAUAUAAAUAUAAUAAAAUUGUUUGAUAUAUAAGCCAAUAAUACAAAUUUAAAUAUAGUAACUAUAAUGUUUAUAUUAGUAUUUUAAAGAUAUUAAUAAUGAACUCGGCAAUAAGUCUUUCAACUGUUUAUCAAAAACAUAGCUAUAUGAAAAAAUAUAUAGUGUUUUCUGCUCAAUGAUUUAUUAAAUAGCCGCAGUACCCUGACUGUGCUAAGGUAGCGCAAUCAAUUGACUUUUAAAUGAAGUCCUGUAUGAAGGAAAUUAUGAAGGGCUACUUUAUCAUUAAUAAUUAUUGAAUUUAUUUAGGAAGUGAAAAUUCUUCUAUAAAAAUAAUAGACGAGAAGACCCUAGAAAUUUUAAGAGACACUUUUUGUUGGGGCAACAAAGUAGUAUUUAAUCUACUGUUAUUACACGAAAUUAAUAUUUGGUAAGAAUAAAUUACUCUAGGGAUAACAGCAUAAUUUGUGAAAGUUUGUGACCUCGAUGUUGGAUUAGGGAAUUUACAUU